GCACCCUUAGCUCAGUGGUAGAGCGCGCGUUUAGUAAGCUCGAGGUCAGCAGUUCGAACCUGCUAGGGUGCA
rfam:Micromonas sp. RCC299 chromosome 8, complete sequence.